UAGGGAAUUUUCCACAAUGGGCGAAAGCCUGAUGGAGCAACGCCGCGUGCAGGAUGAAGGCCCUCGGGUCGUAAACUGCUUUUCUCUGUGAAGAUUAUGACGGUAGCAGAAGAAUAAGGAUCGGCUAACUCCGUGCCAGCAGCCGCGGUCAUACGGAGGAUCCGAGCGUUAUCCGGAAUUACUGGGCGUAAAGAGUUGCGUAGGUGGCAUGGUAAGCAGAUAGUGAAAACGUGUGGCUCAACCACAUAUCCAUUAUCUGAACUGCCAAGCUAGAAGACGAGAGAGGUAGAUGGAAUUCCCAGUGUAGGAGUGAAAUCCGUAGAUAUUGGGAGGAACACCGAUGGCGUAGGCAGUCUACUGGCUCGUUCUUGACACUAAGGCACGAAAGCGUGGGGAGCAAACGGGAUUAGAUACCCGCGUAGUCC
rnacentral:rRNA from 1 species